rnacentral:sRNA from 1 species
AUUAGGUACAGUGGCAUGUACCUGUAGUUCCAGCUAUUGGGAGGCUGAGGUGGGAGGAUUGCUUGAGCCCGGGCAUUUGGGGACAGCCUGGGUAACAGAGUGACACCCAUCUCAA